rnacentral:rRNA from 1 species
CCUACGGGAGGCAGCAGUGAGGAAUAUUGGUCAAUGGACGCAAGUCUGAACCAGCCAAGUAGCGUGCAGGAUGACUGCCCUAUGGGUUGUAAACUUCUUUUAUAAGGGAAUAAAAUGAGUCACGUGUGCCUUUUUGCAUGUACUUCAUGAAUAAGGAUCGGCUAAUUCCGUGCCAGCAGCUGCGGUAAUACGGAGGAUCCGAGCGUUAUCCGGAUUUAUUGGGUUUAAAGGGAGCGUAGGUGGGUCGUUAAGUCAGUUGUGAAAGUUUGCGGCUCAACCGUAACACUGCAAUUGAUACUGGCAGUCUUGAGUACAGUUGAGGUAGGCGGAAUUCGUGGUGUAGCGGUGAAAUGCUUAGAUAUCACGAAGAACCCCGAUUGCGAAGGCAGCUUACUAAACUGUGACUGACAUUGAUGCUCGAAAGUGUGGGUAUCAAACAGGAUUAGAUACCCCAGUAGUC